GGGCCCGCACAAGCGGUGGAGUAUGUGGUUAAUUCGAUGCAACGCGAAGAACCUUACCAGGGUUUGACAUCCUGCGAAUCUCUUGGAAACAGGAGAGUGCCUUCGGGAACGCAGUGACAGGUGGUGCAUGGCUGUCGUCAGCUCGUGUCGUGAGAUGUUGGGUUAAGUCCCGCAACGAGCGCAACCCACGUCUUUAGUUGCCAGCAUUUAGUUGGGCACUCUAGAGAGACUGCCGGUGAUAAACCGGAGGAAGGUGUGGAUGACGUCAAGUCAUCAUGCCCCUUACAUCCUGGGCUACACACGUACUACAAUGGCAGUGACAAUGGGAUAAUCCCCAAAAAACUGUCUCAGUUCGGAUUGUCGUCUGCAACUCGACGGCAUGAAGGUGGAAUCGCUAGUAAUCG
rnacentral:rRNA from 1 species